rnacentral:rRNA from 1 species
CCUACGGGAGGCAGCAGUGAGGAAUAUUGGUCAAUGGGCGGAAGCCUGAACCAGCCAAGUAGCGUGCAGGAUGACGGCCCUACGGGUUGUAAACUGCUUUUAUACGGGAAUAACGCGCCUUACGUGUAGGGCUUUGCAUGUACCGUAUGAAUAAGGACCGGCUAAUUCUGUGCCAGCAGCCGCGGUAAUACGGAAGGUCCGGGCGUUAUCCGGAUUUAGUGGGUUUAAAGGGAGCGUAGGCCGCAUGUCAAGCGUGCUGUGAAAUGUCCGGGCUCAACCCGGGCCUUGCAGCGCGAACUGGCGGGCUUGAGUGCGCGGGAGGCAGGCGGAAUUCGUCGUGUAGCGGUGAAAUGCUUAGAUAUGACGAAGAACCCCGAUUGCGAAGGCAGCUUGCUGCAGCGGAACUGACGCUGAUGCUCGAAAGCGCGGGUAUCGAACAGGAUUAGAUACCCGGGUAGUC